rnacentral:rRNA from 1 species
AUGCGUGCAGGCAUAGAGGAGGUCUUUCCGUUGGCAGUGCACAGGCACUGCAGGUGGCACAUAAUAAAGAAGGCUGAGGGGACCCUAGGACCGUUCUUUGCUGACCGUCCAGAGCUGCACAAGGCAUUCGAGCUCUGUGUGGACCACAGCUUGACGGUGGAGGAGUUUGAGAGGAGCUGGAUGGCCAUGGUUGAAACGCAUCAAGUCCAAGACAAUGAGACGCUUGCUAGUCUGUGGGAGAAGCGAAUGUACUGGGUGCCCGCCUACUUCAUGCAGUGCUUCUUCCCUUUUCUAUAGACUACGCAGCGCAGCGAGGGGUUCAAUGCUGUGCUGAAGCGAUACGUGAGCCCUGGCAACUCAUUGCUACAGUUUGCCAAGCAGUACACAGCUCUGCAACAAAAAAUUCUAGGAUUUGAGCUCCAGCAAGAAGCUACCACCGCGCUAAAGCAGCCGAAAUUGCUAACGUACUUACCAAUGGAGAGGCAAAUGAGCAAGAUAUACACAAACAAGAUCUUUAACAAGUAA